rfam:Trichobilharzia regenti genome assembly, scaffold: TRE_scaffold0025944
AUGCUGAUGAAGAGUCCCAAACUAGGACGAAACAGCUGUCCAGUAC